rnacentral:rRNA from 1 species
GACGAACGCUGGCGGCGUGCCUAAUACAUGCAAGUAGAACGCUGAAGAGAGGAGCUUGCUCUUCUUGGAAGAGUUGCGAACGGGUGAGUAACGCGUAGGUAACCUGCCUUGUAGCGGGGGAUAACUAUAGGAAACGAUAGCUAAUACCGCAUAACAAUGGGUGACCCAUGUCAUUUAUUUGAAAGGGGCAAAUGCUCCACUACAAGAUGGACCUGCGUUGUAUUAGCUAGUAGGUGAGGUAACGGCUCACCUAGGCGACGAUACAUAGCCGACCUGAGAGGGUGAUCGGCCACACUGGGACUGAGACACGGCCCAGACUCCUACGGGAGGCAGCAGUAGGGAAUCUUCGGCAAUGGGGGCAACCCUGACCGAGCAACGCCGCGUGAGUGAAGAAGGUUUUCGGAUCGUAANGCU